AGCCUAGUCUUUGUCUUUUAAUCUUCUGAGCAUGUGAUUUAGCCCUGUACUGUGUUAGAUGUAGUCCUUAGUUUGAUUAAAUGGGAUAAUGGCACUAUAAGUGGCCUAAAUGUAUCAGUGUUAAAUGUCCAAGCCUGUGUGGAGUCAUGUUAUUUGCUUUGUCCAGUUAUUCAUGUUCAAAAUGCAUAAAUCCUGCCUUAUGACACUACUUGUUUGAUCUGAACCUAUCUGAUUAAAGUAUGAUAAGAACCAAUCUCAUGCCUGUUUUGUUUCUCCUAUGUACUGUUCAGAAGGAUGAUAUUUAAUCCUUGAAUAUUGAUUAAAACUUGGGUUUGUUUGGCUCACUACUAGAGUGUGUCUAAUCAGUGUUAUGUUUAGUUUUGAUCUAGGAACCUGCUAAGCAUGUCAAUGUAAUUUAAGUUCCCUGUGGUUGGCUAUCUUGUUGGCUAUUUUUGCUUAAUCUUCAUUAAUAUGUGUGGGGAUUGCUCAAUCUGAUUUAAACAUGCUAGGCGGUACAUAAACUCAUAUAUUUGCUUAACAUUCUCUUUGACUUAGACUAAUAUGUAAAUUGAUAUUGAUACUUGAGGCAUGCCUAUACUUGUUUAAGUUAAGUUCAAGGUCACUUGUGACCUAUGGUGUUUGAUAUACUAGAAUGGUUUCUCUGUGAUAUGUUGUUUGAGUCAAAGUUUGUUUUCAAAAUGUAUUGUUGAUACUAGGAUAGUACCCUCAUGCCUACUGGAUCUGAAACUGAAUUCAUUGAAAUAAAAAAAAUGAUAUUUACUUGAUUCAAUAAGAUGCACCAAACCUUUGCAUGCCUCUUCCCCCUUUUAAUGACUCUGUUUUAAAAAAAAAAAAAAAAACUAUGAGGUCUGCGCUAUUUGGUCUGUUAUUGGUUUUUGUUAUUAUAAGUCUCAGAUUGUAUUUUAAAAGAGCUAAAGGCAUUUUUAACUUAGUUUAGCGUCUGUGAACUUGUACUAAUGCUUUGUUGAGUCUUGUAAUGAUGUUUGAAGUCCCCUGUUGACAAAAUCUGUUAGUCAUGUGUUGUAUGACCCUGUAUGUGACUCUGUAUGUUUGCUUUCAUUAACUGUAUGUGACUUAAGUGUUGUCUAAAGUUAGCAUAAGUACUGAAAGGCUAAGUUGAAAGGAGGAUGGCACUUAGUACAUGGAUGAAUAUGAGUGUGAUGUUUAUACUCAAGUAGGAUAUAUGUUGCAAAUGUUUGUUAAAUUGAUUCAGCUGUUCAGGAUCUGUGUCACUUGUGGCUUCAAUGAUCUCAAUUGGAGAGUUUAAGUUAAGGGAACCAGGUUUGGUGUGAAGUUUUUGUAAUCUGUUCUGAGGUUAAACCCCUGAAAUCCUUGGAUUUUUUUUUCUUGUGGGGAAUAUGUGACAAGUACUUCCUUUCCAUUAUGAAGUAAGUUUAAUUUUGUGAUUUGUAUGAGGCCAAAAGACAUCAUGCAUAGCUCUAAAAGUUAAUGACAGUAGUCAGUGGUAUUUAUCUUUGAUAACAUUUCCUUUCAAAAAAAAAUUAGUUGAAUCAUGGUUACCUCUUAUUAAUUAGAAAGGUUUGAAUAAUGUAGUAGUCAUAGCUAAGUGUAAAUCUAGUGUAAAUCUCUCUACCAAAGAGUUUCAAAAGGAUUCAAAGAACUGUUUUGUCUUCAAUUGCAUUCACUAAAUCUACAUGAUUUCUAAAAGCUCAACAUGAGGUUAGUUCUAAGUUCUGUAUGAUUUCAGCAUGAUUGAAAGUUGUUCCUUUCUGCUUGUAAAAAAGAUUCUUUUCUACACUGGCUAAGUGAAAUUUUGUGAAAAAAAGGAAAGAAUAAGGAGUUUUGGUUUUCUUUGCUUCUGGACUAAUUUCACCAUGUUCUUUCAAGCUGAAUAUAUUCUUUCAUGAUAUUAUUCCUGUUUGUUAUUCUUUUCCUAUAAUUUGGUUUAGAAUAAGAGAUCUUAAAAAAUAGGGAAAAGUAUUCAAAACACACUCAAACUAUGGCCAAAAUUGUCAUAACACACCUCAACUUUGCAGGGGUCCUAUGACCCCCCUGGACUUAUUUUUGUGUAUUAUUUAUGCUUUCAACCGGACAAAGUCACUCAAACGACAUUGAGUGUAUGCACGCGCUCAUAAAGUUAAAACCAGACGGGUCAUUUUCAUUAUUUUGCUUUCCGAAAUUUGAAAUCCAGAAUUCUCACUCACCUUCCACUCGAUUUCUACCAUUUUAAUCACUCAAAUACUAUUUUGUUCUGCAAAUUAGUGUGAAUCAUAGUUAAACUAAGUUUAGGUGGUAACAUCGCGGUGGAUUUUGACCCGAAAUCGUCGAUUUAUCUUCAAGGUAGUGUCAAGCUUUUAGUGAACUGAAAAAAAUACCAGGUUAGUAGUGUUCUUUGUCAGUAUUGUACGCAUAAAGUUUAUUUUUUUCUAUAUUAUAUAGGAUUUGUGACAUUGUCGUAUGAAUUUAUAGGGUUUGUUAAAAAAUUAUGGGUUUUUCCUAGUUUAAAUUGGGGUUAUUUGGGGUUAAGAGAUGUGUAAUCUUAUGUCGUGUAGUAUUACUGUUGUAAGUGCGUCCAAUUUAUUUUCACCCCAAAAUGUGAUUUUGGGGUCUGUUUGGCCUUGUAUUGUCAGAAGUCUGAAUUUAAUUAUUGUUAUUUGAUGUGUGUGUGGGGUUAUGAUCGUUGUUGACCAUAUAUUGUUAUUGUAUAUGUGUGGUACUGAUUGUUUGUACUAUUAUUGAAUUGUAAUUUCAGGUAUGAGUGGGUUUGUAUUAGUAACAUUGAGAUGGUGUCAUGGUGGGGUUUUGGAUGUCAAUAGUGGGCAACCAAAGUAUGAGGGUGGACAAAUAACAGAGUUUUUGGAUAUUGAUGUGGAUAGGAUGUCCUUUUUUGAACUAUGGGAUUAUAUUAAAGAACUAGGGUAUACUACAAGUUGUUCAUUUUGUGUUAGGAGACCUAAUAGUGACAAUGUUGUAGAAAUCCAAACUGAUAGGGACAUUUUGGAAAUUUCACAAAGUUUUGAAAAUGGGGAUACUAUUGAAAUCUAUGUCUGUCGCAUGGUUGAUAAUUUAGAUAAUUUAGAUGGUCCCAUUGCUUUUUUGGAAUACACUAGCCCCCAAUGAGGAAUCUUUGGGUGUUUUUAAUGAAGAAAGGUAUGGGGGUAUCCAAGAAGGGGAUGGGUUUGCUUUUAAUAAAGAACCAGCAGCUACUGAAACUGCAGCACCUGCUGAACCAGUAGCUGCUGAAACUGCUGCUUCUGAAAACCCAUUAAGUAGUGAAUUUCCUAUUCUUGAAUCUGACCAGUCCACUGAUGAUAGUUCUGAGUCUGACCAAGCUGAACUAUUUAAUGAACAUGAUGUUGGACAUGAAAGUGAUGAUGUUCAUGAAGAGUGCAUAAAUUUGAGGGCAGAAAGGAGGUCAUAUCAGAGGAGGAAAAGAAGAGAAAGGAUACCAAAUGACCCUGGAGAAAUUCCUAUUGGUGAAGUUGGUCCAGAUCUGGGCUUUGAUGAAACUGCUACUCCUGACAUAAGCUUGAAAGGUAAGGUUGCUGGGGAUGAGCCAGUGUAUGUCAGUUCUGAUGCAUAUAGUGUUGAAUCAGAUACAGAUGAUGAGUCAGGGUCUAGGAGGGCUAGGAGAAGGAUAAUUUUUGACAAAACUGUUGAAAAAGUGAUAUGGGAGUUGGGGAUGGUUUUGAGGAUGUAAAUGAGUUUACGGAUGUUGUUACAAAAUAUGCACUUCAAAGGGGUGUGCAGUUAGAGAAAUUUGUCAAUGAGCCCAAAAAGGUUAGAGUGAGGUGUAGGGAUGGCUGCCCAUGGCUGCUAUAUGCAAGUCUUGACAAGAAGACUAAUGAUUUCAUGAUCAAAACCUACAAUCCUAAACAUAGGUGUGUCAAGACUACUAGAAAUUACAUGUGCAAUGCUAAGUUCUUGUCUAAGCAUUACAAGAAUAGAAUUACAGAACAGCCAAACAUUAGGAUUUUCAAGUUUUAGCAGUUGAUUAGGGAAGAACUUAACAUACAUGUUGGAAAAACCACUGCCAAGAGAGCUAGAGCUAAAGUACUCCAAGAAAUCAUUGGUGAUCAUGUGUUAGAGUUUGGAAGAAUAUUUGACUAUAGGGAUGAAAUGUUGAGGACUAAUCCUGGGAGUACUUGUGUUGUUAAGGUUGAUGACUCUGGUGAAAGUGGUAGGUUGGUGUUUGAAAGUUUUUAUAUUUUCUUUGAUGCUUUGAAAAAAUGCUUUUUAGGUGGCUGUAGGAAAUGUAUUGGUUUGGAUGGUUGUUUCUUAAAGGGAAUAACCAAAGGACAGCUAUUGGCUACUGUUGCUAAAGAUGCUAAUAAUCAAAUGUUGCCUAUUGCUUGGGCUAUAGUGGAAUAUGAGAAUAAGAACACUUGGACAUUGUUUUUUAAAUUGUUGAUAGCUGAUUUGGGAAUGGGAGAUGGCAGCAACUACACAGUGAUAUCAGACAUGCAAAGGUAUGACAAUCAUUUUUUUUUCUUCAUUUAGUUUCUGUCCAUUCAUAUAUAACUGUUUCUCAAAAUUGUAGGGGCUUCAAUCAACUAUGCAAGAAUUGUUACCACUGGUGGAGCACAGGAUGUGUGCAAGACACAUCCUAGCCAACUGGGCAAAAGGAUGGAGAGGUCUUCAAAGAAGGAACCAAUUCUGGAAGUGUGCAAAAAGCACCUUUGAAGGAGAGAUGAAGAUAAAUCUGGAUAAAAUGAAACAGCUUGGUACUGCCAAGGAUGGUAAGGAUAUUGUUACAGAUUUACUGUACUACCCACCUGAAACUUGGUGUAAACUGUACUUUAGAACUGACAUUAAGUGUGAUAGUGUGGACAAUAAUAUGUCUGAGAGCUUCAAUGCCUGGAUUUUAGGACCAAGGCAUAAAACCAUUAUCACUAUGCUUGAAGAGAUUAGAGUGAAGGUAAUGACUAGAAUAGGUUAGUUGAGUCAAUUUCCAAAAACAUGGUUAACCAAUAUAUCUCCAAUGGCACUGAGGGUACUAGAAAUCAACAUAAAGAAGUCAAUGGAAUGUAAUAUUGAUUUCAAUGGUGAGAGAGGGUUUGUAAUUAGUGAUGGGCCAUAUCAACAUACUGUUGGUUUGAGAAAUAGAACUUGCAGUUGUAGGGCCUGGAUGCUCAAGGGAAUACCAUGUCAACAUGCCCUUGCUUCCAUAUUAUAUAAGAAGUAUGAACCCAUUGAGUUUGUUGAUAGCUGCUACAGUAAGAAGACCUACUUGAGGACUUAUUGUCAUUUUCUUCAACCAGUCACCAAUAUGAAAAUGUGGCCUGAGUCUAAUAACCCCUAUGUUGCACCACCAGUUGUAAAGCCUAUGCCAGGCAGACCAAAGAAGGUCAGGAGAAGAGAAGCAACUGAGUCAAAAAGAUAUGAUAAGUUGUCAAGAAAAAGAGUUGACAUGACUUGCAGCAUUUGUCAUGGUAAAAACCAUAAUAAAAGAGGCUGUCCUUUGAAGGAUUCUGGUAGAACAAGCUAUGGUAAUGGACCAGAUAUUGCUGCAGCAUCUCAGGCAAGCUUUGCUGAAUCAAGUGCUGCACCUGUAAGAGCUAGGGGAAGGCCAAGAAAGACUUCUCAAGCACCUGAAGCACCAGCAAAAGCUAGGGGAAGGCCAAGGAAAAUCCAUUAACUUUUGAGGCACCAGCAAGAGCAAGUGCAAGGCCAAGGAGUACUUCUGAAGCACCACCAACAGCAAGUGCAAUGCCCAGAAGUACUUCUCAAGCACCAACAAGAGGUAUGGGAACAAGGAGGACAACCAUUACUGCUAAAUGGUUUGAAAAUGCAACAAGUUAUGCUGCACCUGUUGCAGCCAACGCACCUGUCCAACCUGUUGCUUCUCAGUCUAAUGUGAGUAGGGGAAGACCAAGAAAAACCUCUCAAGCUUCUAAUGCUGCACCUGUUGUAGCCAAUGCACCUGAUCAACCUGCUGCUUCUCAGUCUAAUGUGAGGAGGGGAAGACCAAGAAAAACCUCUCAAGCUUCUAGUGUAACAGUUGUUGAUAAUGAAAGAAGAAGAACUACCCCUUACAAAAGGCCUAGGACUGUUGGAAUGGGUAUAUUUGUCGCAGAAAAUGGAUUUACAACAUACAGUCAUGGCUUGCCAAGUAGUAGGAUAAUUGAUGCUGCUCCAACAAAGCAUAUAAGGUCAGCUGAUGUUACUUGGGGACCUUGGUCACAAAGCAAGGAAUGGAGUGAGGUGGAAGGGCAAAACAUCAAUGACAUCAAGCCAGCUUGAAAAUAUGAGGGUAAAGAAAAGGAAAAAAGUGACAGCAACCCAGAACUCGCAGACAAAGGAUCCAUGGAAGUAGUGUUAAUAUGUUGGUAGUUGGCACAACAAAUUAAUGUAGUUAGCAGUUUUUGCAGUUCAUAAACAAACUAAAGUAGCUGUGGUUUAGAUGUUUGUUUUGUGACAUUAUGCUACUGCACUACUUUUGUACAAACUUAUAUUGGUGCAAUUGUUUAUAUAUAGCAAGGUCUGUUUCUAUUAUUAA